ACCAACGGCCCGGUGAGCGCUGCGGCAGCGGCAGCCGCAGCGGGGCAGGGGCUCCCGCGGGCUGUGCGACCCGCCCACCGCGCACCGCGCCGGGAGAGGCAGCGAGCCGGGCGCGCGGCGUCGGGGACCGUCACUCGCGGUCGUUUCCCGCGAAGAGCGAGAUUCAUUCAUUCAACAAAUAUAUUCUGAGUACCCACUACUUGUCAGGAACUGCUCUAGAAACUGGGUAUCCAUCAGGGGACGAAGCAAAGAUUGCUGCCUCAUAUUGCAUUACAUUUUAAUCAGUGAAUUACUUUUUCCCCAAAAGUUCACAAACAUAGCAGACAGCAGACGGUUAAGUACAAAAGUGGCAAACUAGAGGUUUCUGCACUUUGGCACACGUGUCCUCUGCACCAGUCAGUGUCGCCAUUCUCACUCAUCCACACCCUCUGCCGAGCAGCUCAAAACAAGCCUCAUCGUAUGAAACGUUCUGAGCCUUCACUGGCUCCCCUGUUUUCAGUGUGACUGCUAAUCUCCAACGCCACCUUCUGGUUCACUCACGUGCCACACCGAUCCACUAGAAGUGAUUUCUUUUUUAUGUUGAAGUAUAAUAAAUACAAAGAAUAAAAUAUUUUAAUGAC